rnacentral:rRNA from 1 species
UCAGUUCGGAUCGCAGGCUGCAACCCGCCUGCGUGAAGUCGGAAUCGCUAGUAAUCGCGGAUCAGCAUGCCGCGGUGAAUACGUUCCCGGGCCUUGUACACACCGCCCGUCACACCAUGAGAGUCGGGAACACCCGAAGUCCGUAGCCUAACCAAUCUGGAGGGCGCGGCCGAAGGUGGGUUCGAUAAUUGGGGUGAAGUCGUAACAAGGUACC